AAGUUUAAUAGCUCUUUUUAGAAUUUGUCUGGCAGGCUUUCCUGUUUGCUACCAGAAUACCCUC